AAAGAAUCACUUUUUCUAAGUAUGUCGGAGUGAUUGAGCAGAGAGAAAAAUGAAUACCCUAAGCGAACUAGAAAUCUGGAAAGAACCGAAAUAGAGGCAGUGUCUCAUGACACUUUACUUGAGGACUCACCUGAUGAACUGCUGAUCAACUCUAUAGAUUCCUUCACCUAACCAGAACUGACUUCAUCAGAGAGUUAUGAUGGUUAACUCUAUCAGUCUUCUACCUGAAUGCCCCAAGAUAUUGAUGAAGUCAACAAAAACAUUGAGCCUCAGAACACAAGAAAUCUUGGACAAACUGGGAGACAGCUUGUCAGUAUCUAAGUUUUACCUAACAGAAGAACGUCUCCAGACUGUAC
rnacentral:lncRNA from 1 species